AGCCCGCCCCCAUCUCCCGGGUCCGGCGUUCCUUCCUCUGCCCUCCCCUCCCCCCGCCUUUCCCAGAGGUCUUCGCGGUCUCGCGAGAUCAGGCUGGCCGCGGCUGGGGGCUGGCCGCGGGGCCGCGCUUUGUCGGUUUGAGCGACGGGGAGGGGGACGAUGGCGGUUGACUCCCUUCCCCCGCCGCCCUGGCUUCGCGGCGUUCCCACCGAGUUCCCCUCGCGGCGGGCGCGCGGCCUCCCCAGUGGGUUCCUAGCUGCCCUUUCGGUCCCCUGGGGACGCCCGUCGUCGGUCCUCGAGGCGGAAGUUGUUCCUCCUCCCUGCUCCUUUCGGCCUGGGCAGACGGUGAUGAUUGGGGGGGCCUGGCUCUUUCAUCCCAAGUGCUGUCUUUUAAGGUCCGAUGCCGGGGUCCAUGUACCCGCGGCGACGGUGACUCGCCAAGACACCAUUACAGGGUCGUGCGGCCCGUAGCCCGCCUUUCUCGCUCACUCCACGGCUCCCCUCCCCGGCACCAAGCCUGCUGGGGCUAGGCACACCCGCACACCCGUUUUCUAAAGAGGGAAACACCAAAUUAGUUCGUGACUCCGAGACCCUCCGGAAAGUGCGUCUCGGAGAGGUCUCCGUGUUCUCGUGCUCCACUAUAACUUUGCUCAAAACGAGUAUCACAUUGGGUUACCACUCCCGGAAUCCACUCCACAGUUUAUAAAUUGUGACUUCCUUGCUAGGCAAAGCAUAGCCCAAAGCAGGUGUUCCUAAUGAGGUUCCAGAGCGGUCCCUCUGGAAUGGCUAUUUAGAGCCUCUCAUGUUUUCCUUCUUUUGAAGUGAUUACAGAAACUCUCCCAUUCUCUCAAAAACUUAAAUUGUGCUUAAAAGUUUCAGUUGCUACUGUAAAAGCGAUCGAGUCCAUCCUGAAAUUUGCAAACAUAGUUGUUGUUAGCCAAGAGCCAAAUAAUGGAGCCACGGGCUCUAAUCUGCUUUCUGUGGUCUCCCCCAUCUGAAUAAAGUAGCAAUGUUGUUGAGGACAUGGUGAGGUGGAUAAGAGUCUGCCCUUUGUUACAGAUCUGUCAAAUAUGCAAGAAGGUUGGCACUGAAAGCGUGAAUUUGCCCCUCGAGCAAGAUCAAGUCUGCACGGACCAAGAACCUUGGUGUUUCUGAGCUGUGGGCCACUGAGGGGCCCAGGACAUUGCCCUCUGUGAUGAGCCAUCUGGUUGGACAGCGGGCCUCUAUGACAUCCUACUCUCAGCUAUCUCUAGCCUCCAUCGCACCGUUGGAGCAGAGCUUAGUUAGGCAAGUUCCUGUCUCCCCUGCUGGAGUAGGAGCUAUAGGGGAUUAUGCAUUGUUUUUCUUCUGGCAAUAGCCUGUCACAGGGGUGUGCGAAGAGCAGACAUUCAAAGCUGCUAGGAGGGAACUGAAGGUUAUCUGAUGAGUACAGAGGUGGUAAAGGCGUUGACUAUGUUGAAAGCUAGUGUCCCAAACCAGGGUAAUCUAAGGCGCCCAGGUUAAUAAACAUUUCUGAGUUGCUGGGCUACAGGCCCCGCCCACAUCACAGGCCCUGCCCAGGGGCCUUCUGUAAACAAAUAGCAGCUCUCUGACUCCCACUGAAGCUCGUCCACUCCUGAAAUCUCUGACCCUCUGGGCAGGAUGUCUCCCUGCCUUUGUGACAGGCCCCUCCCACCCGAUACUUCCACCGCACCUCUGGCUUUCAGAUGGCACUUUGUUGCAUCUGCCUGUUUACUGGUCUGCCUCCCUCAUUAGGCUGAACAGCUUGUGGUCAGGGGACCUGUCCUUGAGGAGCGCACGGAGUCGGCUACAAAGGGGACAGAGGCAGGAGGCAGAGGUGUCUACGAGGAAGAGAUGAAGUGAGGUGUCACUGGAGACGGACAUGAUGUCGUCUUGCUCCCGAGCAUCUGACUCCAAGCGGAGCCUGUCUUCUGUCGUUCCUGGAAAAAGAGAAAAAAGUACACGAUUGUACUGAUUCAGUAGAUGGCGGAGAAAUGUGGAUGACUUGGAGAACAGGCUCUGCUCUUGGGUUGCUUGAGUCUUGGUCGCCGGGGAGCCACGCACAGUACAGGGCGGCAGCUAUGCUGGUCUCGUCUGGCUUGCCUCAGGUCCUGUCUUCGGGGAAACAAAGUGUUUGGCUACCUAGCUGCACCCUCACCUGCUCAAGUCUGGUGGCUGCAGGAAAGGCCUUUGCUCAGACUUCGGGCCCCGCUGUGGGAGGGCACCACAACAAAGGGCCUGGGGGAGGCCGAGGGGCGUCCUGCGGCCAGUUGUCCCCCCGGAGACCCUGCGAUUCCCGCUGACUCCUGACAGCCGUUUGCAAGCCUUUGUGAGGGGGCAUCUUUGCGUGUUCCCACCUCUGCCACACACUGUUCUCUUUAGUUGUGAAUCUGACACAUUUUUUUUUUAAUUUUUAAAAACGUUUAUUUAUUUUUGAGACAGAGAGAGACAGAGCAUGAGCAUGGGAGGGGCAGAGAGGGAGGGAGACAGAAUCCGAAGCAGGCUCCAGGCUCUGAGCUGUUAGCACAGAGCCCGAUGUGGGGCUCGAACUCACAAACCGCGAGAUCAUGACCUGAGCUGAAGUCGGACACUUAACCCAUUGAGCCACCCAGGUGCCCCCUGGACUCUGUAUUUCUUAAAGGAUGUCUCUCUUGCUUAUCUAUGCAGGACUUGGUUUCCCGAAGCCCGUGGUUCUCAAAUAGAGACACACGAGAGGAGGCGGGACCCAAGGGCUGAGGGUGUAUCUCCUCACGACGCUGACCUGCUUCAAGCAACCACUGUGUAUCGCGCCUGUGGCCGAGCAGGACAUUAGAGACGCAGGGGACCCCUGCAGCGAAUGUGCAUCAGAUGCCAUCUGUGUGCCAGCUCGAGGGAAGUUAGACGUUUGAGACCUUGCCCUAGUGUUCUAGGGCCGCUGGAACCAAGUAGCACAGACCCGGUGUGAGACAACAGAUUUCUUCUCCCCUGGUUCUGGAGGCCAGAAGUCUGAAAUCAAGGUUCCUGCAGGGCUGUGCCCUCUCUCUGUGCCUGGCGAUGGCCGGCCGUCCUGGAUGCUCUUCUGCUUGCUGUUGGUUGGACGCAAGCGCUGUCUCUGGCAGGUGACCCUCUUCCCUCUGCGUCGUCGCAGGGCGGUCUCUCUGCGUGUGCCUGUCUCUGUGUCUUCUCAGAAGGAUGCCAGACAUGUUGGACGUAGGGCCCGCCCUACACCCUGGCCCAGUAUGACCUCCUCUUAACUUGAUUUCAUUCGCAGAGACCCUGUUUCCAAAUAAGGACUCAUUCCCCUCAUUCAGGAUCCGGACUUCCACGUAUCCUUUGGGGAGAUAGAGUUGAACUUGCGGCUGACAUUUAAAGAAGGACCCCAAACAACUCCAAAUGUAAAACUUGGCCCUGGCUCGUCACUCAUGUUUGGGAGACAAGACUCCCGAAGUGUCAGCAAGGAUCCGGUGGCCGUCUGCCUUCCUGGAGCACGAACAGUUGGCCUCAGUGCUUCAUGCACACCGACCACUUAAUCCCUAACACAGCCCUCCCAGGGAGAUUCUGUUGCCAGUGGACUUUGCAGAUGAGGAAACUGAGGUGCAGAGAGGUCAUACAGCUUUGCCAAAGUCCCUGGGGAGCAGAGCUGGGUGUGUGUGUGUGUGUGUGUGUGUGUGUGUGUGUGUGUGAAUGACAGCGAGUGCCAGCAGGUUGUUUCCCGUUCUCUUCAGACCCUUGGCCCUUGUGAUAGGGACAGGUGAGGCUAACCUUUGUCUCAGCUGCCAUCACAAAACCCAGUGCUUACCUCCUUUAUCAUCCCCCUGGGGCGUGUGCUGCUCUGUGACUUCCCAGGGCGAUCGCAGGGGGCUUUGGGCAUGAUGUAGAAAAGGUCUGAUUACUUUCUUGAUCCCUAAACUCCCACUUGCACAAGAUUUAGUCCCAUAUUUAGGGUCAGUUUCCUGCAUCUACUGGCAGAUGGAAGAGCCAUCCAGAACCCAUAACAAUAUGCUCUAAAUAACGUUUAUUUUGUGGUACUGAUCCAUCCGAGUAAAUAUAGUUAGUACCAGAUGGGACUUUUGCAAUCUAGAGUUCUGAAGGCAAGAAAGGAUUCGUUUUGAGUUUCCUUAAAUUAGGUGAGCAAUUUUUUUCUUGGGCUAUCAACCCCCACGUUCAACAUUCCCAGCGUGACAUUUUGUACUGUUAUACUUGGUAAGUAAAGCUUAGCUAUUCUGAGGUUUAUGUGCCAGGAGCCUGUGCUCAGAGUUCCCUUUUUAGUUGCGCUCAUAAAGGCUGCUCACAUGUUUGGGUAUUUCAUGCAGAAAGAAGUCUUUCGGGCUAGGUCAUUCUCGGUUAGAUAUUUACAAAGUUCACGGCUAUUUUUAACACACACCUCUGCUGCCUUAAAACCACAGUCAGCAUUUAAAGCCAUGACUGGCUUCUCUCACUUGGCAUAAUGUCUGCAAGGUUCACCCAUUGUGCUAAGUGAAAGAAGCCAGUCACAAAAGGACAAAUGCUGUAUAAGUCCACUUAGAUGAGGUUCCUAGGGUAGGCAGAUUCAUGGAAGCAGAAAGUAACAGGGUGGAUGCCAGGGGCUGGGGGAGGGGGUAAUAGGGAGUUAGCGUUUCACAGGGAAAGAGUUUCAGGUCGGGAAGGUGGAAACAUUCUGGAGAUGGAUGGUGGUUUUCUAACAAUGUGACUAUACUCAGUGCCACUGAACCGUAUACAUAAAAAUGGCUAAAACGGUAAAUUUUAUGUUGUGUAUAUUUUACAAAACAAAAAAACAUCCUAUAAUAACCUAAGCAACUCUAUGUAAAUGGGUACAAGUGAUACAAUUGAUAGAAACCUCACAUGCCUGCGAUUAAAUAUGAUGCGUAUCGUAAA